CGGGUGAGUAACACGUGAGUAACCUGCCCUUCACUCUGGGAUAACGUCGGGAAACCGGUGCUAAUACUGGAUAUGACCUACUCGGGCAUCCGAUGUGGGUGGAAAGAUUUAUUGGUGGGGGAUGGACUCGCGGCCUAUCAGCUUGUUGGUGAGGUAAUGGCUUACCAAGGCGACGACGGGUAGCCGGCUUGAGAGAACGACCAGCCACACUGGGACUGAGACACGGCCCAG
rnacentral:rRNA from 1 species